AGGAUGCGAGCGUUAUCCGGAUUUAUUGGGUUUAAAGGGUGCGUAGGCGGCAUUAUAAGUUAGUGGUAAAAUAUUGGGGCUUCACCUCGCUACGCCAUUAAUACUGUAGAGCUAGAGAACAGACGAGGUAGGCGGAAUAAGUUAAGUAGCGGUGAAAUGCAUAGAUAUAACUUAGAACACCGAUAGCGAAGGCAGCUUACCAGACUGAGUCUGACGCUGAUGCACGAGAGCAUGGGUAGCGAACAGGAUUAGAUACCCUGGUAGUCCAUGCCGUAAACGAUGCUCACUGGCCUUAGGCGAUAUAUGGUCUGAGGUUAAGCGAAAGUAUUAAGUGAGCCACCUGGGGAGUACGUCGGCAACGAUG
rnacentral:rRNA from 1 species